rnacentral:rRNA from 1 species
CCUACGGUUGGCAGCAGUGGGGAAUAUUGGACAAUGGGCGAAAGCCUGAUCCAGCCAUGCCGCGUGUGUGAAGAAGGCUUUCGGGUUGUAAAGCACUUUCAGUGGGGAAGAAAGCCUUGGGGCUAAUACCCUCGAGGAAGGACAUCACCCACAGAAGAAGCACCGGCUAACUCCGUGCCAGCAGCCGCGGUAAUACGGAGGGUGCGAGCGUUAAUCGGAAUUACUGGGCGUAAAGCGCGCGUAGGCGGUCUGAUAAGCCGGUUGUGAAAGCCCCGGGCUCAACCUGGGAACGGCAUCCGGAACUGUCAGGCUAGAGUGCAGGAGAGGAAGGUAGAAUUCCCGGUGUAGCGGUGAAAUGCGUAGAGAUCGGGAGGAAUACCAGUGGCGAAGGCGGCCUUCUGGACUGACACUGACGCUGAGGUGCGAAAGCGUGGGUAGCAAACAGGAUUAGAUACCCGUGUAGUC